rnacentral:tRNA from 2 species
GCCCGCCUAGCUCACGGAUAGAGCGCCAGACUCUUAGGAGUACGGGGUUGACUGGGUGAUCUGAAGCGAGUUCGACCCUCGCGGUGGGCU